CUUGGGAGUUUUUCUGUAAGCCUAGGAUAUGGGAGAUCAACAAUAUACUUUGUGAUGUUUCUGGAUGGGUUUUCAGUUAUUGCAGCCAAAAUUAGGCCUCUUUUGGUCUUUGGUCCUGAUGUAACACAUACACAUCUGACAUCUCUGAAAUGGAUGAAUGGGAAAGCCAGCUUUGGACUGCACCGUAGCUCAACACUCUUCCAUUAAACUACAGAACUGCCACCUUGAGCGACCUGAACGUCUUGGACAGAUGCAGCCACACAGAGGUUUAUUUGUGGGCGUACUACUAUACAAAAAUGGACACUACAGCUGUUUAAGAUGAUAAAAUGUGUAGAUAAUUGUAAGAGUAUACGUACUGAAGAGAAUUCAGACUGAACAUAAAAUAAUUCCCUUGGCAAAAGGGGGUGGAAUAAAACACUGAGAAACUACUCUGACUCCUCAUCUGUUCUUUGUAGGUAAGAAAAAAACACAUUAUGCAAUCAUUACUGCAAUGACAAAAAGAAAAAGAAAAAGGAAAAAAAACAACUUAAUGUGCAACUACCCAAACUUUUUUGGUAGGACAUGGAGGGAGAGAUGGCGAGGAGAUGAAAAAGAAAGAAAAUAGAAAAAGAGGGAAAAAAAAUGUCAUUUUGAGUGAACCACUUCCUCUGUUCUUGCAAGGACUGGCAGAUAGUAAACAUCUUCACAAUCAAUAGUGUCUAGGGCAGAUAAAGAGAAAAGCCUAAAUGCCUGACCUUCACCCAACAUCAUGAUGUCACCACCAUUUUCUCAUCUUCAUGCAAUAAAACCCCUCUUCCACUUCCACAACUUCCUAUAAUGAAAUGUUUGUUAAUAUUUUUGUUUUCUUCUAUAUUCCUGAUAAUCAACGUGCUAAGUAAUGCUUUUGAUAUUUUUGUAGCUUAUUUUCUCGUCCCAAAUAAAAAGAGUAGUUUUACAUAUUCUGCACUUAAGUAUCAUUUAAUAACCAAGAUAAAAUGAGUAGCCCUCAAUCUUACUGAAACGCAGACAAGCUACGUACCAAACUCAUAAAAAAUACUAAUGGUCUGGGACUGGGAGAAUUGUGAGUCUCUUUGGAAAAAACCACUUAAUAUACAUGAAAAAUGUCAGUAGAAGACAAAUCCUGUAAGGGUUAAAUGCUGAAAGACAUCAGGAAAUAAGAACAAACAGUAAACCAGAAAACAGUUGUCCAGCUGGACAUACU
rnacentral:lncRNA from 1 species